rnacentral:rRNA from 1 species
UACGUAGGGUGCGAGCGUUGUCCGGAAUUAUUGGGCGUAAAGAGCUCGUAGGCGGUCUGUCGCGUCGGUCGUGAAAACUUGGGGCUUAACCCUGAGCUUGCGGUCGAUACGGGCAUGACUGGAGUUCGGCAGGGGAGACUGGAAUUCCUGGUGUAGCGGUGAAAUGCGCAGAUAUCAGGAGGAACACCGGUGGCGAAGGCGGGUCUCUGGGCCGAUACUGACGCUGAGGAGCGAAAGCCAGGGGAGCAAACGGG